rnacentral:rRNA from 1 species
UUGACGGUACCAGAGGAAUAAGCACCGGCUAACUCCGUGCCAGCAGCCGCGGUAAUACGGAGGGUGCAAGCGUUAUCCGGAUUCACUGGGUUUAAAGGGUGCGUAGGCGGGNANGUAAGUCNGUGGUGAAAUCUCCGAGCUUAACUCGGAAACUGCCNUNGAUACUAUUUGUCUUGAAUAUUGUGGAGGUGAGCGGAAUAUGUCAUGUAGCGGUGAAAUGCUUAGAUAUGACAUAGAACACCAAUUGCGAAGGCAGCUCACUACNCAAUUAUUGACGCUGAGGCACGAAAGCGUGGGGAUCAAACAGGAUUAGAUACCCUGGUAGUCCACGCCCUAAACGAUGAUUACUCGACAUCNGCGAUACACUGUUGGUGUCUGAGCGAAAGCAUUAAGUAAUCCACCUGGGAAGUACGA